AUAUAUUUUAGGCAGCUCCAAACUGCCUGGCCACCCAUGGAAAAUCCAACAACGUAGAAUUUGGACCCUAGCCCCAAUUGAUCAGCUAGCUCCUCUAUAUCAUGAGCAAUGGUUUUUGGAGUUCGAUUUGGAUUUGGAUCACUUUCUCCAUAACCAGAUCUGUCAAAUGAUAGAAUGUAGAUUCCUAAGUUUUCAAUUAUGUCCGGAGAGAUGGUAUUUGCAACAAUGGCAUUGUGUCUGCAAGAACCAAAGCUAUGGACAUAGAUAACUUUGUAUUUAGCUGAAUCUUUUGGA
rnacentral:misc_RNA from 1 species